UAAGACUGCGUCGUGCAAAAUAAUACAAAACGGCCGUCACAGUUAAAGGGAUAUCACCAAUACUAUUAUCAAAAUUACCAUAAAAAAUAUGUAUUGAGCACCACAAUGACUGUGUUUACAAUUCAUCGUUGGCAAAAAUUAUAAUUAUUGUCUAGUUAAAAUAACAAAAAUGUGUAAACAUGGACAAAAAUCUUAAAAUAGCACGUUCGUAUUUAGUUGAAUUUUGAUAGUAAACUGUUACAUUUUUUCACAAACUUUAAUGCAUAUCAAUCUAUAAUAAUCAUACUACAAUUUGUCGUUUUAAAAUUUUCGAAAAUGUAGCUUGGUUAUUUUAGACAUUAUUUUGUUUAAAAUUGGGCCGCUGCGCGCCCUGUUUUGAAUCAUACGCAACGUACACCGGCCGAAAGUUCAGUCGUCCACGAGAGCUCGGAGAGUGGUCACGUCUCAUCGGGAAGCGACGCGCCGAUAACGAUACUUCGCGAUCUAUUGUGUACUUAUACCUUGCCAAACGCAAACGCAAACUGUUGAAUAAGUAAAAUGGGAAAGCUUAAGGAAAAAAAUUAUAAGAAGAAAGUUGGCGCUAAUUUACGAAAAAAAAAAUGUUCUCGGAAAAAGAGCAAGUCCGGAUGGUAUUGUAGAAGAGGACAAAUUUGUGGAAAUUAACUGUCCUUAUUCAGCCAGAGACAUGAGUGUUGACGAUGGCAUAAGAGAAAAGAAAAUUAUUUUUUGGAAAAGAGACAAGGAAGGUAAUAUCAAUCUAAAUAAAAAUCAUGAUUGGUAGGUACUUCCAAACACAAGGACAACUUCACAUUACACAAAGAAAAACAUGUAUGUAUAUUUGCCGUUUGGACUGAAGUAGACAUGAAGGUUGAACUAAUUGAG